UCUGAAACUAGCUUUGGCGGGCCGAGUUACUCUUGCACAGUCGGCUGUGGCAUUUAUUCCCAUGUAUGCUAUGCAAUCAACGUAUCUCCUUGGUCCGGUGUGUGAUGAAGUAGACAAAUUGUGUAGGACCUUCAUAUGGGGCGGUUCUGAGAAUUCAAGAAAGGUUUCGUUGAUUCCGUGGGAACAGAUCAUUAAGCCCAAGGCGUUGGGAGGGCUUGGCUUCAGGGAUUCCAGGCUCAUGAAUAAGUCCUUCAUGCUCAAGAUCGCCUGGGGGUAUGAUGCAGAAUAACCAGGAUUUAUGGGCACAGGUGCUCAGAUCCAAGUAUAAAGUUGGAGGGCCUAUUGUUCCAGAUAAAAUUGUUGGCAGGCGCUGUUCUAAUUUAGGGCAUGGGGUGAACAACAUAUGGGAGUUCUUUUAAGGAUGGAAUUUGCUGGUCUACAGGGAAUGGUAAAUUAGUCAACUUCUAGAGUGAUUAUGGGAUGGCGACAGGGGAGAGACUUUGUGAUAUUGCUAUAAAGGAAGUUCCAUCUUCAAUGCUUUCUGAAACUAGCGACUAUGUUGAGGCGAGUUCAGGCUGGAGCUGGGACAGAUUCUCCCAGUACCUUCCAACAUCGCUAUUGGUCCUUUUGUGCAGCCUGCCGAUGCUUCUUCCUCAUAUGGAAGACGAUACAUUCAUCUGGAAAACUUCCUCAUCAGGUAGCUUCACCAUUAAGGCAGCUUACUCUUUUCUUGCAAGAUUUCAGGAACAUCACAAUGCUGAUCCUUGGAAACGUAUCUGGAAGUGACAAGGACCGCAAAGAAUAAGAACUUUCCUUUGGCUUGCAGCGCAUGAAAGGCUUCUGACCAAUCAGGAGAGAGUCAGAAGACACUUGGAUACCAACAAUUUGUGCAGAAUAUGCAAUAGGGAAGUAGAAUCCCACCUCCACACUCUGCGUGAUUGCACGGAUAUAAAUAUUUUAUGGCGUCACCUUGUGCCUUUUGUUGAGUUUAAAGAACUGCUGCGUUUUAGUUAGUACGCAGCGUUUUAUUAAUAUACAAUGGGAGAUGUGAUCACGUGUAGGUCACAUGCUCAUGUCGGAAUACAUAAGGAAGCGAAACUUCCAGACAUUGUAACUAUUCUCAUUUUUUACAGAAAUAAAGAUUCAAAUGUUUUCUUCUCUCUCUGUACGCUCUUGUUUGAACAUGGUAUCAGAGCCUUAGGGUUGGCUCACGGCAGCGCGUUGUGUUCUGUAUGAAAAUUCUGCUGAGUAUCCUCGAUAGAUCCGGCGAUGACGGAACGGGGAAAUAGUAGUAAAGAGCAAAAGCAGAGUACGGGGUCCGAAAAGGGGCUAAGCCAGGACAAAGGAAUGGGAGAUCCUCUGAGUCUCCAAUCGUCCGAUCAUCCAGGUAUGACUUUAGUCUCUGCAUCUCUGGUAGGAUCUAACUUCCGAUCUUGGAAUAGGGCUGUUAGGAUAGCCCUGGGUGCCAAGAUGAAGUUAGGGUUUGUCGAAGGAAUAGUUUCGACACCUAGUAAGGAAUCUGAGGAUUAUGAACAAUGGAAGAGAUGUGAUUUCAUGGUCACAUCUUGGAUCUUGAAUUCCAUCUCCAAAGAACUGGUGGAUGGGUUUAUCUACACUGCCUCGGCCAGAGAUCUCUGGCUAGAGAUCAGUGAGAGGUUUGGAGAAUGUAACGGACCCAUGGUUUAUGAGUUACACAGAAAAAUUUCCCUCAUAGCUCAAGAGAACGCUUCUGUCUCAGUUUACUUUACCAAGCUAAAGAGGCUCUGGGACGAGCUUGGCUCGAUGGAAACUCUCCCCAACUGUACGUGUGGGGCGUCCAAAGCCAUUGCUGAGAUAACCAAUCGUAACAAGCUCAUGCAAUUUUUAAUGGGCCUGAAUGAGGUUUUUGGGUCAGUCAGAGACCAAAUCUUGGGAAUGGACCCUUUGCCAACUGUAAAUAAGGCAUACUCCAUGGUUGUUAAAUUUGAAUCACAAAGGGAGGUUCUAGGGGCUAUGAAUGAUAACUCAGAAUCUCUAGUGCUUCUAAAUAAAAGUUACUCACAGAGUCAAACCAGGUCUAGAAAAUUAGACACUAAGAAGGCCCACUGCACCCACUGCAACAUGGAUGGACACACUCGAGAGGGGUGUUUCAAACUCAUUGGGUACCCAGAUUGGUUCAAAUCUAAGAACAAAACUGGAACUCAUCCAGUUAGGGGUUCUAAAGACACCAGAAUGGUGGCUGCAGUCAAGGGAGCUAAAUCUGUAGAGGACAACCCCCUAGAUCACUUUGACACCUCAACUAAAAUCAGUGAACUAACUUCAAUGUUAAGUUCAUUGAAGCAAGAAGUUAAUCAACCGGUGAAAGGGAAAGGAGUAGCAACUCCAAGCACCUCAAUUGAAUCUGAGUAUCAUUUCAUGGAUUUUGCUGGUAAGUCCAAUACUUCUGAAAAUUGUUGUGCUCAAUUAAAUACUGAUGUUACUUGGAUCAUUGACACUGGAGCCACAAAUCACAUGUGCUCGGAUAGACUUUCUUUCACUUCAUUACAUCCUUUACACAAACACAGAACUGUAUGCUUUCCUGAUGGAAACACAACACAAGUGUCUUAUUCUGGAAAAUUGAUUCUCUUUGAUCAAUUAACUUUGGAGGAUGUUCUGUAUGUACCAAAAUUCCAUUACAAUCUGAUAUCUGUUAGUCAACUAAUAAGUAAGUAUGGAUACUGCUUUGUGAUAUGCCAUAACUACUGUAUCAUACAGAACCCACUGAAUAAGAAGGUGGUGGCAAUAGGAAAGAAGCAAAAGGGUCUUUUCAUGCUGGAUCAAAUGAGUUUCUCUCAUACUAAUAUUAGAUAUAGCUUAAAUCAAAUCAUGGAAUAGAAUGUCAAUCUUCAUACUCUUGUAAAUACUAUGAUUGAUUCUAAUAAAGAUGAUUCUAUGCAGUGCAAGAACCUUGAAAAAUGUGCUUUGACCAUGAUUGAUAUGCAUGAUAGAUUAGGACAUGCCUCUGCUAAUAAAAUCUUACAUAUCAAAGGCAUAAAUAUUAGUAAUAGCACUAUGAUUUGCUGUCCUGUUUGCCCUUUAGCCAAACAAGCCAGACUUCCCUUUCCCAAAAGCCAGACUUUGGCUUCCAAACCCUUUGAUUUGAUCCAUAUUGACAUAUGGGGACCAUAUAGGACUAGCUCCAUUACUGGAACUAGAUUCUUUCUUACAAUUGCUGAUGAUUAUAGUAGGGCUGUUUGGACCUUCAUGAUGCAUUUGAAGGGUCAAUCCCUUAGCAUAACUAAACAUUUCAUUAGUAUGGUUGAGACUCAAUUCAACACAACCAUCAAGAUUAUCAGAACAGAUAAUGGAAAAGAGUUUUUGAGUCAUGAUUACAUUGAUUUGCUCACAAAUAAAGGUAUCAUACACCAAAGGGCUUAUCCCUACACACCCCAACAAAAUGGGGUUGUGGAAAGAAAACACAGACACAUCUUAGAAGUUGCUAGAGCCCUAAAAAUUCAAUCCCAUAUCCCUGUGCAAUUCUGGUCAGAAUGCAUUCUGACAGCCACUUACCUCAUCAAUAGAAUGCCAAUGGAGCAAUUCAAUUGGACCACACCUUAUGAAAGGCUCUAUGGAACCUUACCCCAUUAUCACCAUCUCAGGAAAUUUGGAUGCCUAUGCUAUGCCACCACAGUGGGCAGUAGAAAGGACAAAUUCCAAGAAAGGGCCAUUAAGGCUGUUAUGGUAGGAUAUGCCAACACCCAUAAAGCUUAUAAACUAUACAGUAUUGUUGACAAUUGUUUUUUUAUCAGUAGAGAUGUUGUCUUCCAUGAAGACAUUUUCCCCUUCAAACACAAUAAUGAUAGCAGUGAGGGCCCUGUGCUUCCUUUACCUAUAAUAGAGUCUGACUGCCCAAGAACCCGAGCUAAUAACCAAAGCCAUAGUAACACUGAACUUCAAGUCUGUUCUUCACCUAGAAGGACUCAAAGGACUAGACAACCACCCAUUUGGAUGCAGGAUUAUGUAGAUCCUUUACAAACAACAUCUCUGUCCUUCUGCCUUUCAUACAGGUCUUACAUCUGUAAUGUUAACAAGGCUCAUGAGCCUUGCACCUACUCACAGGCUUCCAAGGAUCCUCAAUGGGUUGAGGCCAUGGAGCAAGAGCUUCAAGCCUUAGAAAACAACAAUACUUGGACUCUUACCAGCUUGCCUAAAAACAAAAGGGCUAUAGGCUGUAAAUGGGUAUAUAAAGUGAAGUUCAAGUCUAAUGGGGAAGUGGACAGAUAUAAAACCCGGUUGGUUGCUAAAGGAUAUAACCAAAUUGAGGGGCUGGAUUACAAGGACAGAUUCUCACCCGUGGCAAAACUCACCACAGUGAGAAUUUUUAUUGCCUUGGCAACCGUUAAAAAAUGGCCCAUUUUUCAGCUGGACAUCAAUAAUGCCUUCUUACAUGGGCAUUUGAAUGAAGAGGUAUACAUGGUACCUCCUCAGGGCUAUUACAAGGCCCAACCUGGUCAAGUCUGUCAGCUUAAAAGGUCUUUAUAUGGCCUUAAACAGGCUUCUAGGCAGUGGAACAUUGAAUUUACUACCUUUCUUAAGACUUUGGGUUUUGUGCAGUCUUCUCAUGACCACUGUCUUUUCAUACAGCAUACUGACAUUGUGUUUGUGAUCUUGCUGGUAUAUGUUGAUGAUGUUAUAUUAACUGGGAAUUCUGUAGAUGCUAUUAAUAAAUGCAAGAUGGCCUUACAUUCAAAAUUUACCAUUAAAGAUUUGGGGCCUAUGAAAUAUUUUGUAAUACCCGGCUAGACUCCGGUAUCGGAAUUCCUACCGUCCGGUGGAAUCUCGGAUGUCGGAAACCUCUAGAAGGGUAAAAUCAUGUUUUUAUAAAAUGUUUUAAUGUAUUUUAUGAUUUUAAGCAAAAAGGAAAAUUGAGUUUUAAAUGGAAAAGACCAAGGAGACAUUUCCAAGUUCGGCCGCCGAACCUCAGGUUCGGCCGCCGAACAUUGGAUGGUUUAGGGGGGCAAGUUAGGCUUCCGAAAAUCUCAAAGGUUCGGCCGCCGAACCUCAUGUUCGGCCGCCGAACUUGCAUGAGAUGUGGGGGCACGUUCGGCUGCCGAAAGGUGGUCUGCCAGCCCUAUAUAAGAGCUCCAUGGCCGAAACGGGCGAGUUUUCUCCCCAUUUUCGGCUACGGUGAGUUCAUGCUCUCCUAUGGUUUGUUUUUGUUGUUGUUCCUCCAAUCUUUCAUGUUUUAACAAGCUUUAUGUUGAUUUGAAGAGAUUUGAGCAAAAAGAGCAAGUUUUGGAAACUUGGGGAUCAAAGAGCGGAUCUCUCCCAUCUCCGAGUUGGAUCGUCUCUCCUCUCGUUUCACAAGAGGUAAGAGUAGAUCCAUAGUUCAUUACAUGUUUUAAGUAAGUUUUAUGAGGUUUUAUGGGGUAGAAAUGCAUGUGUAGGUUUAUGUGAAGUUUAUGGGUUUACUGUGCGUUUAUGAACAAUGUAUGUUGGUUAUGCAUGUUUGAUGUGUUGUAGAUGGGGUUUAGGAUAGUUUGAAGCCCCUAGGAGCUUGUAUGCUUGAGUAUGUAUGUUGUAGAAUAGGAAAAGGCAUGAUUGUAUGAGUUGGGAGGCGUUUGUGCAUGUUGGAACCGAGUUUCUGCCCUUUUGAGAAACCAGAUUCGGCCGCCGAACCUGCCUUUGGUAGCAUGUAUCGGCUGCCGAACCCUGCCCCCGAAAGUGGACUUUCGGCUCUGGAAGGGAGUUUCGGCCGCCGAAGGUGCCGCCGAACAUGCAUGAGUUUCGUCUUUGGAGGGAACCUUCGGCCGCCGAAAGUUCUGCCGAAGGUGCAUGAGUUUCGGCUCUGGAGGGCCUUUCGGCCGCCGAACCUGCCGUUGAAAGUGCCCUGUUCAGCCCUCCUUUGCAUGAUUUCCAUGAUUGUUUUAAGGUGUUUUAGGGGGUAUUUCAGAGUCAUGUUUAUGUAUGUUAGGUCCCUCAUUUGAGUCCACUUGUGUAGGUUCGGACCCGAGGAAUCGAGGACCUCAGUAGUGAGAUAGCUGCUUCAGAGUCAUUAGAGCUUCAACCAGAGGUGAGUGGAAUAACUUCUUAUGUUUUAAAAUAGAAUUAAAUCAGUUUUAGCAUGAUUCACGCAUCAUGAAUGCCAUGAGAUAUAAUAGGAUGUUUGCAUUAGAAUUCACGAAUAUGUUGCAUUGCAUAUUAUGUUGAUGAUGUGGAUGAAUGUUGAAUGAUCCUUUAGUCCUCGUAUGGUAUGACUUGAUGUGAUAUGGUAUGGUAUGGAAGUCCAGGUCGAGGCCAAUUCUACGCCCCUGGCACUAUUGGAAUGUGUUGAGGACUAUUGGUGACAAAUUCAUCCUUGAUGUGAUUAAUUGUGAUGUGAUGCAUUCCAUAUUAUCAUGUGGUUUAAUUAUAAUGUUUUAUUAUUCUGCUCACUGGGCUCUAGUAGCUCACCCCUCUCCCUUAACCCCCAGGUUUGCAGGUACAGGGUAGACCAGGAGGUCAACAGGAGUAGAGUCUUUAUGUAUGUAAUAGAUAGUUGUGGACAUGAAUAUAAUGUAACGUAAAAGUAUAGUAUAGAAAUGUUAUAUAAUGAUGUUUAUGGAUGUUAGAGUUGUGCUUGACCAUAGUAUGUUGUAAAUCCCUUUUUAGUACAUGAUCCUAGGUGUGUAAUGAUGCUUAUAUGAACCAAACUCAAUACAUGUUAUGUCACUCCACUGGAGCAUUGAUGAGACUCCAAGGAGGGGUUAAUGUUUAUGAUUAUGUUUAUGUAUAGUGCAUGCACAGGUUGAGUUUGGCGAAUGAAUGAAUGAAUGAAUGAAAAGAAAAGUUCAAAUUUUUAUGUAUGUUGUGGAUCAUGUAUGGGAUUAAGCAGGUUCACAGGAUGUAUGUUAGGCUUGCUACGGGUCCCGGCGGCCUUAAGCCGAUCUGGAUCCUAGCGCAGGUAGCGGUUCGGUUUCCGGGUCGUUACAGAGUGGUAUCAGAGCCCUAGGUUCAUAUGGUCGGACCUAGAGUGUCGGGCUCAUAGAGGUUAUAGAAGGUCAAGCACAAUAGGAAGAUCAUGUCCACUAGGAUAGGAUGUAGAUCCUGUCUUGAAUAAUGAUGUGAAAUGCCAUGAUUAUAUGCAUGUGCAUUAAUGUUAUGCUAUGAUAUGUGAUGUAUGUGAUGAGGGUUCAUGUGUUUGCACAUGAACUAUUUGAUGCUAAUGUUCUAUGUGAUGUGUACUGUUUUUCAGAAAACAGGAUGAGAGGAACUCGUCGAUCUGCAAGAUUAACUGGAGUACCACCCCAGGACGAGGGCACUGAUGCCCGUCCUCCUGCAUUGCCUAGGGCAAUGUCAAGUAGGUCCAGCAGAGAAAGAGCAGUAAGAGACCCUAGAAGGUCUUUGGAUCUGGGUAGAAGCAGAUCAGUGAGGGGAACAGUGCAAGGAGAUAUGUCAGAGGAUGUGGGAGAUCAGAUGGAUGUGGAUCAGAGGAGGGAUGGCAGUCUCGGAGUAAGUAUGUCGGAAGAGGGAAUGAGAGAGUCCUAAGGAGGCACUCAGGCCUCGGGAUUUGUUCAGCCACCUUACUACCCACCCUUUUCACAUAAUCCUGGGUAUUCGAUGGGAGGUACAUCGGAUUUCCCCAGUUUUAACCCUUAUCACUCUCAGAUGCCAUACCCACCUUUCUACCCACAGUACCCCAUGUAUCCACCCCCACCCUACCAUCCAAGUACAGCAAACCCUACCCCAGGGGAUGCUACACCUCCUCCACCACCUGCAGCACCUACUGUCCCAGAAACCCAAAUGCCUAAGCCUAGCUCAUCUGGAGGGAGCAAGGUCAAGAUGACCGAUUACAUGAAGCUGGGUGCUCCCCAGUUUGAAACCGGUGAUGACCCGUUUGUGUACCUUGAGAGGGUCAGGACAAUUACAGAUGAGAUAGAAGCUGAUGACAGUAGAGCCAUUCAGAUGGCUGGAUUCACACUAAAAUGCAAGAAGGCCCGAGAGUGGUUUAAGAAUUAUGUGAACCCGAGGUUGGAUAGUCUAUCCUGGGAGGAGUUUGCAAAUGAGUUUGCAGGAUGGGCUUUCCCUGACAGUUCAAGAGAAUUGAAGAUGAUUGAGUUUGAACAGUUGAGGCAAACAGAUGAGAUGAGUGUGGAUGAGUAUACAGACAGAUUCUUGGAGCUGUUGCCGUUUGCUGGGCAGAAUCUGGAUACAAAUCAGAAGAAGUCAAGGAGGUAUAUCAUGAGGCUCCAUUCCAGGUAUUCCUCCUUGAUUCAGUCAGCAGAGAGGGAGAGUUUCCAUGCCGUAGUGGAUAUGGCUCGGAGGAUGGAGGCUAGUGCAAUCAUCAAGGGGAAAGUCAAGCAGUCAGUGGCACAGCCUUCUGGUUCCAAGACCCCAGGAGGGGGAAGGUUAGACCCUUCUUCUCUGAGCUCAGGCAGUAAGAGAUGGGGUAAAGCCAAGUCUAAGAAGAACAAGUUCUGGAGCAAGAUCAAGUCUGGUCUGGGAUUAGGUAGUGGCUCAAGCUCUGGCGCAGAUAAUGCAGUAUGCAAGAAGUGUGGGAAGCCGCACAAAGGAGUAUGUCUGGUUGGGAUGACAGCCUGCUUCAGAUGUGGGCAGGAGGGACACAUGGCACGGGAGUGUCCAAGAGUAGCUUCUGUGGCACAGUCUCAGCAGACAGCUUCUGAUAGUGUGGUUUAGCCAACAACUCCAGCUGUGACUCAGGCUAGUGGCAGAGGCCGAGGGAGAGGGGCAGCCUCUUCUUCAGCGGGUUUCAGAGGUGAAGGUCCAUCAGCUCCAGCGCGGAUCUUCACAAUGACUCAGCAGGAGGCAAACACAUCCAACACCGUGGUGUCAGGUAAUCUCAUCAUUGGUUGUUCUGAUGUGUAUGCAUUAAUGGACCCUGGUGCAUCUCAUUCUUUCAUUGCUCCGAGGGCCGUCGAGAGGUUGGGAUUGAUGGUCUCUGGGUUAGAAUGUCCCCUAUGGGUCAGUGGACCCAAGUGUGACCCGUCAGUGGCAGAGUCAGUCUGCCAGUAUAGUCCAGUUUUUAUAGAGGGGAGAUGCCUUUCAGCCGACCUUGUGGUUCUAGAUUUGACAGAUUUUGACGUCAUUCUAGGGAUGGAUUGGCUAUCUACCCAUGGUGCUACCUUGGACUGCAGAGACAAGGUAGUCAAGUUCAGAUGUCAGGAUGGGUCAGAGGUUGUCUUCAGAGGAGACAGGGGGAGUACACUUAGAGGUUUGAUAUCAGCCUUUUAGGCUCGUAGGCUACUCAGGAGGGGUUGUCAGGGUUUUCUAGCUCAUGUGAGAGAGCUGGAUAGUCAUGUCAGAGAGCCCGCCUCAGUACCAGUGGUCAGAGAGUUCAUAGAUGUUUUCCCAGACGAGCUGCCAGGUUUACCACCUGCUAGGGAGAUAGAGUUUGAGAUAGAAUUGAUGCCUGGAACCAGACCGAUCUCUAUCCCUCCCUACAGGAUGGCACCAGCAGAAUUGAAGGAGCUUAAAGAGCAGUUGCAAGAGUUGGUAGAUAGAGGAUUCAUCCGACCGAGUACCUCACCUUGGGGUGCUCCAGUGCUAUUUGUGAAAAAGAAGGAUGGAUCUCUCAGACUUUGCAUCGACUACAGGCAGUUGAACAAGGUCACUACCAAGAAUAGAUACCCGUUGCCAAGGAUCGACGAUCUAUUCUACUAGCUAGCAGGAGCAAGUUGUUUCUCCAAAAUAGAUCUGAGAUUGGGGUAUCAUCAGCUGAGGAUAAGAGAAGAGGAUGUGCCGAAGACAGCAUUCAGGACCAGAUAUGGGCACUAUGAGUUCCUUGUAAUGCCGUUCGGGUUAACCAACGCCCCUGCAACAUUCAUGGACCUCAUGAACAGAGUGUUUAGCCAGUACCUGGAUCACUUUGUUAUUGUCUUCAUAGAUGAUAUCUUAGUGUACUCCAGGAAUGCAGAGGAGCAUGCCCAUCAUCUGAGGUUGGUUUUGUAGACCUUGAGGGAACAUGGCUUGUAUGCCAAGUUCUCCAAGUGUGAGUUCUGGCUGAGGAGCAUCUCCUUCUUGGGGCAUGUGGUGUCAGAAAAUGGAAUCGAGGUAGACCCCAAGAAAGUGGAAGUUGUAGCUAACUGGCCUAGACCCACUACAGUGACAGAGAUCAAGAGCUUCUUGGGUUUAGCAGGUUACUACAGGAGGUUCGUCCAAGACUUCUCUAAGAUUGUAGCUCCCAUGACCAGACUGACUAAGAAGAACCAGAGGUUCGUGUGGACCGACCAGUGUGAAGAGAGCUUUGAGGAGCUUAAGAAGAGGUUGACUUCAGCACCAGUGUUAGCUCUGCCAUCGAGUAAUGAAGACUUCUCAGUCUAUUGUGAUGCGUCCCGUGUGGGGCUGGGUUGUGUGCUAAUGCAGAAUGAAAGGGUGAUUGCUUAUGCUUCUAGGCAGCUAAAGAAGCACGAGUUGAAUUACCCUACACAUGACCUAGAGAUGGCAGCGGUAAUCUUUGCACUCAAGAUGUGGAGACACUACCUUUAUGGGUUAAAUGUGAGAUCUUCACAGAUCAUAAAAGCCUGCAAUAUAUCUUGAGUCAGAGGGAGCUGAAUAUGAGGCAGAGAAGAUGGGUAGAAUUGCUUAGUGACUAUGAUUGCAAGAUUCAGUACCAUUCGGGUAAGGCAAAUGUUGUGGCAGACGCCUUAAGCCGGAAAUCACUUGGCAGUUUGUCCCAUAUUUCAGCAGAGAGAAGGCCAGUAGUGAGGGAGUUCUUCGAGCUCAUCAGUGAAGGUCUACAGUUGGAGUUGUCUGGUACAGGUGCUUUGUUAGCCCAGAUGAGAGUGGCACCCGUGUUUCUGGAGCAGGUGGCUCAGAAACAGCACGAGGACCCAGAGUUAGUGAAGAUUGUCAGGACUGUUCAGUCAGGCAAAGAUAGUGAGUUCAGAUUCGACAGCAAGGGGAUCCUCUGCUGUGGGAGCAGAUUAUGUGUACCAUAUGACGUAGGGCUAAAGGGAAACAUUAUGAGAGAGGCUCAUAAUGCCAGAUAGAGUGUUCACCCCGGAGCCACCAAGAUGUAUCAAGAUCUCAAGAGAGUGUAUUGGUGGCCAGCUAUGAAGAGGGAAGUGGCACAGUUUGUGUCAGCCUGCGAAAUAUGUCAGAGGGUGAAGCUGGAACAUCAGAAGCCGGCUGGAAUGCUUAACCCACUACCUAUUCCAGAGUGGAAAUGGGAGAAUAUAGCUAUGGACUUCGUGGUGGGGUUACCGGCAGUGUCCAACAGAUUGGACUCCAUAUGGGUGAUUGUGGACAGACUCACCAAAUCUGCUCACUUCAUCCCUGUCAGGAGUGGCUAUUCUGUGGACAAGUUGGCGCAGGUGUAUGUUGAUGAGGUUGUCAGGCUGCAUGGGGUUCCUGUUUCAAUAGUGUCUGAUCGAGGGCCCCAGUUCACCUCCAGGUUUUGGCGGAGUCUGCAGAACGCUAUGGGUACCAGGUUAGAUUUUAGCAAUGCUUUCCAUCCACAGACGGACGGACAAUCAGAGAGGACCAUCCAGACAAUAGAGGAUAUGCUCAGAAUGUGUGUGCUGAAUUUUGGCGGUUCUUGGAGGCAGCAUCUACCUUUGGUGGAGUUUGCCUACAAUACCAGCCAUCAUGCUAGCAUCGGGAUGGCUCCAUAUGAAGCUUUAUAUGGAAGGAAGUGCAGAUCACUUGUUUGCUGGGAAGAAGUUGGGGAAAGGGCCUUGGCAGGGCCUGAGCUUGUAGAGAUCACCAGCAGGGUGGUGCCCAUAAUCAAAGAAAGGAUCAAGACUGCUUCAAGCAGACAAAAGAGUUAUGCAGAUGUCCGUAGAAGACAAGUGGAGUUUCAGGAGGGGGAUUUGGUAUUGCUCAAAGUGUCUCCAAUGAAAGGGGUGAUUCGGUUUGGGAAGAAAGGUAAGCUAGCCCCACGGUACAUUGGACCCUUUGAAGUCUUGCAAAAGAUUGGGAAUGUAUCGUACAAGCUGGACUUGCCUGCUUCAAUGGAAAGAAUCCACCCGGUUUUCCAUGUUUCUAUGUUGAGAAAGUUCGUGUCGGAUCCAGGCAAGGUUCUUAGUGAGCCUGAUGUGGAGAUCCAAGGAAAUCCCGAUGGUAAAAGUCCUUUGGAAUCACCACAACAUCGAAGAGUGUACUUAGGAGACACGGGAGUCCAUGCUCCGGCAAUAUCCUCAUCUCUUCUAAGGUGAGUUUUAUGUGCUUUGUAUGAAUGUUUAUGUUUUAUGCUAUGCAUGUGUUGUUUGGUGAACAUUCGGGGACGAAUGUUCUUAAGGGGGGGAGAAUGUAAUACCCGGCUAGACUCCGGUAUCGGAAUUCCUACCGUCCGGUGGAAUCUCGGAUGUCGAAAACCUCUAGAAGGGUAAAAUCAUGUUUUUAUAAAAUGUUUUAAUGUAUUUUAUGGUUUUAAGUAAAAAGGAAAAUUGAGUUUUAAAUGGAAAAGACCAAGGAGACAUUUCCAGGUUCGGCCGCCGAACAUUUGAUGGUUUAGAGGGACAAGUUAGGCUUCCGAAAAUCUCAAAAGUUCAGCCGCCAAACUUGCAUGAGAUGUGGGAGCAGGUUCGGCUGCCGAAAGGUGGUCUGCCAGCCCUAUAUAAGAGCUCCAUGGCCGAAACGGGCGAGUUUUCUCCCCAUUUUCGGCCACGGUGAGUUCAUGCUCUCCUAUGAUUUGUUUUUGUUGUUGUUCCUCCGAUCUUUCAUGUUUUAACAAGCUUUAUGUUGAUUUGAAGAGAUUUGAGCAAAAAGAGCAAGUUUUGGAAACUUGGGGAUCAAAGAGCGGAUCUCUCCCAUCUCCGAGUUGGAUCGUCUCUCCUCUCGUUUCACAAGAGGUAAGAGUAGAUCCAUAGUUCAUUACAUGUUUUAAGUAAGUUUUAUGAGGUUUUAUGGGGUAGAAAUGCAUGUGUAGGUUUAUGUGAAGUUUAUGGGUUUACUGUGCGUUUAUGAACAAUGUAUGUUGGUUAUGCAUGUUUGAUGUGUUGUAGAUGGGGUUUAGGAUAGUUUGAAGCCCCUAGGAGCUUGUAUGCUUGAGUAUGUAUGUUGUAGAAUAGGAAAAGGCAUGAUUGUAUGAGUUGGGAGGCGUUUGUGCAUAUUGGAACCGAGUUUCUGCCCUUUGGGAGAAACCAGGUUCGGCAGCCGAAGGCUCUUUCGGCCGCCGAACCUGCCUUUGGUAGCAUGUAUCGGCUGCCGAACCCUGCCCCUGAAAGUGGACUUUCGGCUUUGGAAGGGAGUUUCGGCCGCCGAAGGUGCCGCCGAACAUGCAUGAGUUUCGUCUCUGGAGGGAACCUUCGGCCGCCGAAAGUGCCACUGAAGGUGCAUGAGUUUCGGCUCUGAAGGGCCUUUCGGCCGCCGAACUUGCCGCCGAAAGUGCCCUGUUCAGCCCUCCUUUGCAUGAUUUCCAUGAUUGUUUUAAGGUGUUUUAGGGGGUUUUUGGGGGGGUAUUUCAAAGUCAUGUUUAUGUAUGUUAGGUCCCUCAUUUGAGUCCACCUGUGUAGGUUCGGACCCGAGGAACCGAGGACCUCAGCAGUGAGAUAGCUGCUUCAGAGUCAUUAGAGCUUCAACCAGAGGUGAGUGGAAUAACUUCUUAUGUUUUAAAAUAGAAUUAAAUCAUUUUUAGCAUGAUUCACGCAUCAUGAAUGCCAUGAGAUAUAAUAGGAUGUUUGCAUUAGAAUUCACGAAUAUGUUGCAUUGCAUAUUAUGUUGAUGAUGUGGAUGAAUGUUGAAUGAUCCUUUAGUCCUCGUAUGGUAUGACUUGAUGUGAUAAGGUAUGGUAUGGAAGUCCAGGUCGAGGCCCAUUCUACGCCCCUGGCACUAUAGCAAGAGAAAGACCAGGUCGAGACCCAUUCUACGCCCCUGGCAUUAUUGGAAUGUUAUGUUAUGUAUGUUAUGAUAAGAGAAAAACCAGGUCGAGGCCCAUUCUACGCCCCUGGCACUAUUGGAAUGUGUUGAGGACUAUUGGUGACAAAUUCAUCCUUGAUGUGAUUAAUUGUGAUGUGAUGCAUUCCAUAUUAUCAUGUGGUUUAAUUAUAAUAUUUUAUUAUUCUGCUCACUGAGCUCUAGUAGCUCACCCCUCUCCCUUAACCCCCAGGUUUGCAGGUACAGGGUAGACCAGGAGGUCAGCAGGAGUAGAGUCUUUAUGUAUGUGAUAGAUAGUUGUGGACAUGAAUAUGAUGUAACGUAAAAGUAUAGCAUAGAAAUGUUAUGUAAUGAUGUUUAUGGAUAUUAGAGUUGUGCUUGACCAUAGUAUGUUGUAAAUCCCUUUUUAGUACAUGAUCCUAGGUGUGUAAUGAUGCUUAUAUGAACCAAACUCAAUACAUGUUAUGUCACCCCACUGGAGCAUUGAUGAGACUCCAAGGAGGGGUUAAUGUUUAUGAUUAUGUUUAUGUAUAGUGCAUGCACAGGUUGAGUUUGGCGAAUGAAUGAAUGAAUGAAUGAAAAGAAAAGUUCAAAUUUUUAUGUAUGUUGUGGAUCAUGUAUGGGAUUAAGCAGGUUCACAGGAUGUAUGUUAGGCUUGCUACGGGUCCCGGCGGCCUUAAGCCGAUCUGGAUCCUAGCGCCGGUAGCGGUCCGGUUUCCGGGUCGUUACAUAUUUCCUAGGGCUGAAAGUUGCAAGAUCUUCUCAUGCAACAAUUAUCAGCCAAACAAAGUUCAUUUGUGAUGUUCUCAAAGAUGCAUGCAUGCUUCAAUGCAAACUUGCAUCUUGCCCCUUGCCUCAAGGGUUACAUCUGACCCCUGACUCAGGGGAGCCUCUUUCUGAUCCUGACAUGUAUAGAAGGUUACUUGGUAGACUCCUUUACAUUAACUUAACAAGGCCAGACAUUUGCUAUGCUAUCCAACAUCUAAGUCAAUUUAUGAAUAAGCCUCGAAAGCCCCAUUAGGAGGCUGCUCUUCAUGUCCUUCGCUACCUUAAGGGAUCCUUACACCAGGGUCUUUAUUUUCUUGUGACUGAUGAUCUGUCUCUUAGUGCCUAUUGUGAUUCUGACUGGGCAGCUUGCACUUACUCUCGCAAGUCUCUAUCUGGGUAUUGUAUAUAUCUGGGACCUUGUCUCAUCUCCUGGAAAACAAAGAAACAGACUACUGUUUCCAAGUCUUCCGCUGAAGCUGAAUACCGUGCCAUGGCUAACACUGUGUGUGAACUUCUUUGGAUUAGUUACAUUUUGCAGGACUUGCAGGUACUCAUUAAAUUGCCCAUACCUCUACAUUGUGACAGCAAAACAGCCAUGUACAUUGCUGCCAAUCCAGUAUUCCAUGAGCGCACGAAGCAUAUCGAGAUUGACUGCCAUCUUGUGCGAAACCAACUUCAACAGGGCUUUAUUUCUCCUAGAUAUCUUCCUACCCAAGAGCAAUUGGCAGAUAUCUUCACUAAGGGACUCCCAGCAAGCCGUCAUAACUAUCUGGCACACAAGUUGAAUCUUUUGCCCCUCCCGGCUUCAACUUGAGGAGGGGGUGUUGAGUUUAAAGAACUGCUGUGUUUUAGCUAGUACGCAUCAUUUUAUUAAUAUACAAUGGGAGAUGUGAUCACGUGUAGGUCACAUGCUCAUGUCGGAAUAUAUAAGGAAGCGAAACUUCCAGACAUUGUAACUAUUCUCAUUUUUUACAGAAAUAAAGAUUCAAAUGUUUUCUUCUCUCUCUGUACGCUCCUGUUUGAACACCUUUUGAUGCAGGUAGCUGAUUUUUUUUCACAGCCACUAGUGUAAGAGACUGGCUAGGUAGGAACAUUCAAGAGACACGGCAGAGCAAGCAUGGUGUCAAUUGGCCUUUGCUCUUUGGCGUUGCUUGCUGGAGGAUUUGGAGCAUGAGAAAUGAUAUAAUCUUCCAAGGGAUGACACGGGAUCUACAUGCCCGCAGUGCAAAGGAGUUCUUUUUUGUUGUAAGCAAAAUCGCAGGCCCAAAGCUUAUAAUCACUGAGAAUUGGUGUGCGCCUAAUGACAACUUUCAAAAGCUAAAUGUUGACGGGUCCUGGAGGAGUCUAGAUAGAAAGGCUUUCGGUGGAGGCGUCUUCAGAAACUCGAAUGGAAAUUGGAUAACAGGUUUCACAGUUGCUUUUGGCAAUUCCACAACUCUCGGAGCAGAAAUUAGGACUAUUUUCGAACGGAUCAAGUUUGUGAAAAGGGCCUCUAACGAGAACAUUAUCAUUGAAUCAGAUUGCAAGGAAGUUUUAGAGACUAUAGGUGGCAGAUUACCUCCACCUAAGGAUUUGCAUCAUCUAGUCCAAGCUAUCCGUUCUGAACUGCUUACUGAGCAAGUCAUCGUACUUCAGCACGCGAUGAGGGAGACCAACCAGGUUGCAAAGUGACUGGCAAAGCUGGCACAUCACAAUGGUGUAGAUUUUCAAAUUAUGGAUCACCCGCUUCAAGGGUUGCAGCAUCUUUUAGCUCAGGACUCUUCCCUAACUCCUCAACUCUCUUAUUAUGUUAAGGACACCCUGAUAACCAAUUAAAAAAAAAGCAUAUGCCAAGAAUACAUUUAGAGCAUCCGAAAACAGUAAAAACGACGAUAAAAGAACUACUAUGUUCUACUUCAUUCAUGUCAACAAAUGAACAAAAAUUCUAAAUUUAUAUUUAUUAAUUUUAU
rnacentral:lncRNA from 1 species